AGCCCCUUAGUGUAGCGGUCCAUCAUACAAGGUUCUGGUCCUUGUGACCUCGGUUCAAAUCCGAGAGGGGCUA
rnacentral:tRNA from 1 species